GUAGGGAGCAAGCGUUGUCCGGAUUUAUUGGGCGUAAAGCGCGUGUAGGCGGCCAGGUAGGUCCGCUGUGAAAACCCGAGGCUCAACCUCGGGACGUCGGCGGAAACCAUCUGGCUAGAGUCCGGAAGAGGAGAGUGGAAUUCCCGGUGUAGCGGUGAAAUGCGCAGAUAUCGGGAAGAACACCCGUGGCGAAGGCGGCUCUCUGGGACGGUACUGACGCUGAGACGCGAAAGCGUGGGGAGCGAACAGGAUUAGAUACCCUGGUAGUCCACGCCGUAAACGAUGGGUGCUAGGUGUAGGCGGUGUCGACUCCGUCUGUGCCGAAGUUAACGCAUUAAGCACCCCGCCUGGGGAGUACGGCCGCAAGGCUAAA
rnacentral:rRNA from 1 species